rnacentral:snRNA from 1 species
CUGCCACCCUUUUCUAGCACAUAUACUAAAAUUGGAAUGAUACAGAGAAGAUUAGCAUGGACCCUGCGCAAGGAUGACACGCAAAUUCGUGAAGCGUUCCUCAUUAAA